AACGAACGCUGGCGGCGCGCUUAACACAUGCAAGUCGCACGCACCCUUCGGGGUGAGUGGCGCACGGGUGAGUAACGCGUGGGAACCUGCCCUGGUGUCUGGGACAACCGCGGGAAACUGCGGCUAAUACCGGAUGGUACCCUGUGGGGGAAAGCGAGAGCCGCACUGGGAUGGGCCCGCGUCCGAUUAGCUUGUUGGUGGGUAACGCCACAAGGCGGUGAUCGGUAGCCGGUCUGAGAGGAUGAUCGGCCACACUGGGACUGAGACACGGCCCAGACUCCUACGGGAGGCAGCAGUGGGGAAUCUUGGACAAUGGGCGCAAGCCUGAUCCAGCGACGCCGCGUGGGUGACGAAGGCCUUCGGGUGUAAAGCCCUUUUCCUGGGACGAUGAUGACGGAACCCGGGAUAAGCACUGGCUAACUCCGUG
rnacentral:rRNA from 1 species